rnacentral:lncRNA from 1 species
GUGGAUCGAUCAGAGCAAAGGGGGGAGAAGACAAACCCUAACUUCAUGAAAUUCUCAAGAAUUGAAAGAGAUUAGGAGCCCAAACUAAUGCAUGAACUCGAAACCUCAAUCAUCUAAGCUUGUACAACAAACGGAACGUGUCAAGGAGAGGUCAAGCAUAGGAGGAUAACGGGUCAAGAUAAGGCAAGAUGACAAAUACACUUAUUGGAGUACUCGAGGUAAGUGAAUUUCGAUUCACUUUUUAGUAGGUUUAAUAGAAUUUAAUACUUAUGUUUACGAAACAUCAUGAAAGAACAUGUAAUAAUCAGAAGUACAAAGCCAAUAAUGCCUCAUUAUUGAAGAAGGUUGUAUUUAAGCCGAAAGUAAAUUGGUGGGUUUAAACGGGUCGAAUUUUAUGUGCAUAUGUUGCGUAAUGAAAUGAAAUUCGUUAUGGUUAAGACCUUGGGUAAGAAUUUUAGUCAUUAUGUAAGGGGAACAUUUCCCGGACCAUUAGGUACAAGUUUUAUAUGAUUCGGUUGUCGGUCAAUGAAUGAACGGAUUGUUUCGUUUUAGUGUAGGAAAUUUUAUAAGUAUAUGUGUAUAGGAAUCCAAAGGCCACGUGGGUUGAAUCGUAGAUUGUCUAUACUAUGUAAAGUUUUGAAUGUGACAUUCCGGCAUAAACCUACAUGUAAAAGAAGCUUGUGUAUAUAUUCGUGAUUAAUUGAUUGUGCGAAGGAAGGAACAUUGGCAUGAAUGAAGGUACGCACAUAUAUAUAUAAGUGUAUAUAUAUAUAUAUGUAUGUAUGUAUGAUAAUAAGUACGUAGGUGUGAAUGUAUGUGUGAAUGAAUGUUCAAUGCUUAAGACAUAUGCAUGAACGUAUCAAAGGGUUCGAGUAUUUAUGGAUACUAAUGAUGUGCGUUGAGUUGGAAUGUAAUGUAGGUAUGGGGUCGUUGGCUUCAUGAAGAAAUGGAGCUGGAUUUGGAUAAGAGUAUUUAAGAAAGCGCUUGGACAAUUCCACGACUACUUUAUAGAAUGCUCUACGAAAUUUUAUUAUAUAGUUUAAUGUUGAAUGGUAUGUUGAUAACUAAUGGUUUGGUUGUACGUGGUGUCCACAGGUAUCGCUUGGGUUUUCUCUACUUUUAUUGAAGUGAAGCGGACUUAGUUCGAGUUGAGAGCAAGGAUUGUACGGGCUAGAAUGGUCACAUAGUGUAACUCAUAUAGGUUUUGAAGUAUUAAUGUUAUAAAACGUUAUAAAUCCGUUUUAAUGAAUAUAUGGCAUUUCGCAUUUGAACUUUCAUGUGUUUGAUAUGUCUAUUAAAGAACGAAAUUUUUGGGCUCUUGUUUUCCGCUGCGUCGUAUUUUAAGUUAUUACGCGUUAGUCUUACAGGGAAUUGUUCUUAUUACGAACGGGUCAUGCCCGAAUUUUGUUAAAUAAUAGUAUGAUAAUAUUACAUUUUGGAAUGUGUAAUUUGGGCGUAACAAGUUGGUAUCAGAGCCCUGGUUUGAGAGAAUUAAGUACGAGAGUAUAAGUACUUGAACUCAAACCUGUGUGCUCUUGUGAUAAGGAACCCGUACAAUCCAUGACUCGAUCAAGAUCUAAAGGUAGAAAUGGAACGAAAAUGUGUAAGUAUGUAUUAGAUUAUGUAUUUGAAAGAAACUAAUAGUGUGUUAUGUGCAAGGUAAGCUUAAGAUCUUGAAGAGGAUGAUCCGUGAAUACAGAAUGGGAUGAACGCUAAGGCGGGCAAAGGUGCAAAUAGGCAAAUUAACCCCAGGUACACAUUACUAAUAUGUAUGAGUACCGAU